rnacentral:misc_RNA from 1 species
UCCGAGUUGACCCCGGCAGUCUCCUACGAGUCCCCGGCAUUACCCGCUGGCAACAUAGGACAAGGGUUGCGCUCGUUGCGGGACUUAACCCAACAUCUCACGACACGAGCUGACGACAGCCAUGCACCACCUGUGCAGGACCCUUACGGACACCGCAUCUCUGCGGCUUUUCCCUGCAUGUCAAACCCAGGUAAGGUUCUUCGCGUCGCGUCGAAUUAAACCACACGCUCCGCUGCUUGUGCGGGCCCCCGCCUAUUCCUUUGAGUUUUAGCCUUGCGGCCGUACUCCCCAGGCGGGGCACUUAAUGCGUUAGCUGCGGCACGGGGGGAGUUGACACCCCCCACACCUAGCACCCAUCGUUUACGGCGUGGACUAC